GAUGAACGCUGGCGGCGUGCCUAAUACAUGCAAGUCGAGCGAACAGACGAGGAGCUUGCUCCUCUGACGUUAGCGGCGGACGGGUGAGUAACACGUGGAGAACCUACCUAUAAGACUGGGAUAACUUCGGGAAACCGGAGCUAAUACCGGAUAAUAUAUUGAACCGCAUGGUUCAAUAGUGAAAGACGGUUUUGCUGUCACUGAUAGAUGGAUCCGCGCCGCAUUAGCUAGUUGGUAAGGUAACGGCUUACCAAGGCAACGAUGCGUAGCCGACCUGAGAGGGUGACCGGCCACACUGGAACUGAGACACGGUCCAGACUCCUACGGGAGGCAGCAGUAGGGAAUCUUCCGCAAUGGGCGAAAGCCUGACGGAGCAACGCCGCGUGAGUGAUGAAGGUCUUCGGAUCGUAAAACUCUGUUAUUAGGGAAGAACAAAUGUGUAAGUAACUAUGCACGUCUUGACGGUACCUAAUCAGAAAGCCACGGCUAACUACGUG
rnacentral:rRNA from 1 species